rfam:Phycisphaerae bacterium ST-NAGAB-D1, complete genome.
AGAGCCGUACAAUGAAGGUUUAGCGAGCCACAUUGGCCCCGAGUCAUGUGGGUGGGUCGGUAACGACACAUCUGAAGCGUUGACAGGGGUACAUGCGGGCCGGGUAUUGAGCCGCGUAAGUUCUUGCGUAACAGAUCGGAGUGCCGACGCUGUCGAAACUGUCGGAAGGCAAUACUGGAUACGCCGUUAUCGCAAGGCAUAUUCAGACUCCGCGCGGUCGAAGACCC